UACGUAGGGGGCAAGCGUUUGUCCGGAUUUAUUGGGCGUAAAGAGCGUGUAGGCGGCCAUGUAGGUCCGUUGUGAAAACUCGAGGCUCAACCUCGAGACGCCGAUGGAAACCAUGUGGCUAGAGUCCGGAAGAGGAGAGUGGAAUUCCUGGUGUAGCGGUGAAAUGCGCAGAUAUCGGGAGGAACACCAAUGGCGAAGGCAGCUCGCUGGGACGGUACUGACGCUGAGGCGCGAAAGCGUGGGGAGCAAACAGG
rnacentral:rRNA from 1 species